GAGGUUGCAUCAGGUUAUGAGAGAAAGGAAAUAAGCUUUCUUUUGGGAGAUACAGAGGCCACUGCUGGUGUCCUUACGCACUUUGGACUGAAAGCGGAUCAAGCACCUGUAAUCUUAAUACAGUCCAAUGAUGGAAAAAAUUAUUUGAAGCCAAAUGUGAAACCCGAUGAUAUUGCAUCUUGGGUUAAGGACUACAAGGAGGGGAAGUUGAAGCCAUAUAUAAAAUCAGAGCCUAUUCCCGAAGUCAACAAUGAGCCAAUUAAGGUGGUUGUUGCUGAUAACCUGGAAG